GGAUCAAUUUCCUGGUCGUGCCUAUGGUACGUACUGGUUUUGUUGGUUCCUUCCUUCUGAGGAGCCGCGAUUUCAUUAAUUUGGCGUUGCGGGAAAUCAGGACUGUUACUUUGAAAAAAUUAGUGUUUAAAGCAGGCUUAGGCUUGAAUACAUUAGCAUGGAAUAAUGAAAUAGGACGAUCGAUCCUAUUUUGUUGGUUUCUAGGAUUGACGUA
rnacentral:rRNA from 1 species